AGAUAGGCUGAAGAGAGACGGGAGGAUACCCGAAUGAGUGACUGUGGUUAUUGUUGAACUUUAUACGCCCUUGGUUUCUAAGUACAAUAUCACGUUGAUAUAUUUCGGUUUUGUUUUUGUUUUAAUUUUUUAAUAAUUUCCGUUUAUCAAGACGAUGUUUGUUUUGCCAGGAGCUGUUUUUAGGCGUUUUGACAAAUCAUUGGAAAAAGGGCCGCGCCAUUGUAGUCAAAUCACAAUUUUCUUCCUGGAAACAGAAUCAAGGCCUACAUGACAACUCUGAUCCAGCUUAAUAACCUAGCUAGCUGAUCUAUGUAAUGCAGUAACCCGGAUGUCGUGUUUCAGGGUUGGACUGUCCUCGGCAGUUACUGCUUACCCCCCAAGGAAGGAAGUGUAUACUUCAACAUCCGAUACCCGAAGACUUACGCGCCUGAAACGCUGGUGUUGUUUUAUGACGACCAGGCAACUCUCAUCAAGAGCGCUCCGAACUGUAGCUCCAGAUACAAUAUACUGAAAGCAGAGAACGACGAGUUUGUGAAGCUGACACCUGACUUCCUGUUUACUCGCUGUCAGACCGUUAUGAAAAAUGGCGAGGCCUGGUACAGUUGCUAUGGUCACCGAUCUUUAGUAACCAGUCAAGACCGAAUGUGGUAUAUUGGCGUCUCUCAUUGCCAAGACAAACCGUCUGGCAUCAAGCUUGACUACCUGAUCAAGUUUCUCAACUACGGCCAACCCGGAAAAUGCAAUCAGACAUCCAUUCCCUUUGGUGAUAUGAUAGGGUGAACAUCAUCAACAUCUACAAUAACAUCAACUCCAACAACAUCAACGUCAACAACAUCAACAUCAGCAACAUCUACAAUAACAUCAACAUCAGCAACAUCAACAACAUUGCUCAGUGAAAUAUAGUUAUAUGGUGUCGGUUGCCUUAAUUUGAA